rnacentral:rRNA from 1 species
AGCGUAGGCGGCUGAUUAAGUCAGCGGUGAAAGGUAGCAGCUUAACUGUUUUACAUGCCGUUGAUACUGGUUAGCUUGAGUUGACAGAAGGCAGAUAGAAUUCCUGAUGUAGCGGUGAAAUGCUUAGAUAUGUGGAGGAAUACCGAUGGCGAAGGCAGCCCCCUGGGACAAUACUGACGCUCAUGCACGAAAGCGUGGGGAGCAAACAGGAUUAGAUACCCCGGUA